CAGGCAUUGUAGCAUAUGGUUGUGGCCCCUCCUUCCUACUCCAUGAUCACAGUCUUAGUUCACACCACAUUUGUCUUAGUCUGUUUUCUGCUGCUACAGCAGAAUACUACAGACUAGGUAAUUAUAAUGAACAGAAAUGUAUUGGCUCAUGGUUCUGGAGGCUGGGAAGUCCAAGAUCAAGGGCCCAGUGUCUGGUGAGGGCCUUCAUGCUGAGUCAUCCCAUGGUGGAAGGCAAAAGAGAGAGCGAGAGAGAGGAAGAGCUUGAACUUGCAGCCUCAAAGCCCUUUUAUAAUUGGUAUUAAUCCAUUCAUGAGGGUGGAGACCGUAUGACCCAAACACCUCCGAUUAGGCCCCACCUCUUAACACUGUUCCUUUUUGGGAGACAUAUUCAAACCCUAGAAGCAGAAUUUUGCAGGAUUCUUGUCGUAACCUGCUAAUUGACCUCCUUAGACCUGGACCUUAAGUUGGUGACCUGUGAGCUGGGCUGAAUCUGGUUGCGGUGUUUGUUUAGUGCAGUGCUUAAAGAAUGUUUUUUGUUGUUCCUUUAGAUGUGGCCUAUGCUUGCUGGUUCCCCACAGGUGUGCCCACUGUUUCUUGUUAUUGCACCUUUUCCCAGCUUCUCACAUCAUUGACAUUGCCCACCUGGUUCUUUGACUUUGUAAGGUCUGCCCUUAUAAGGGCAGGGACCAUAUCUGCCUGUCUGACCACAGGAUACACAACACAGAGCAUGUCAAAAAGCAGGA
rnacentral:lncRNA from 1 species